rnacentral:lncRNA from 1 species
CUGCUGUGGAACCAGGUGGGACAGAAACUUGGUCUCCACAGAGGUAACCAGCUGCAUGAAAGGUUAGCACUGGUUGAAAUUUAUUUCAGCAUAUAUAGAAAUGCAAGGAAACAGGAGAUAAGAAAGCAAGAAACCCAAAAUUCUUGCCAAGGAAUUAGGAAGUGAGAAGACUCUACCACCACUGUUCACAUGGCCAAAGGAGUUCUCAAGAGGAAUUUUGUUAGGUUCUGACUGCUUCCAUGCUAUGCUCACUUUCUGCUAGGCACUACAUAGAAAGCAUGUAGGGCAGGAAGGAAAAGAAUGAUGGAGUCUGAGUUGAAGGAGAAAGAAAAAACCCUGCUCACUGGGAUUACUAUAGUCACCAAGCAAAUGCUUGAGAAAUAAAGACAUGGCAAGAUAAAACCGAGGAAUGCAUGGUCACCAGACUGAAUGGAAAAGAAAGAGAACUUCCAUCGUGAAGGCAUAAAUGAGGAGACUGAAUGCACAAACACUAAAUAGAAAAGGACGGACAUCAUUGCUACACCAAACCAUCAGAUAGCCAAGAGAAAAACCAGAGUAAAGAAUUUACAAAAUGACUGCUAGAAAAUGAAUAAAAUUGCAGGUGUAAGUUAUUACUUUUCAAUAAUGAACUUGGAGACAUAUGAAUGAAAUUUUCAAAUGAAAUGACUGACUAGUAGAAUGGAUUUUGUGAAAGAAAAAGACUUAGCAGUAUACUUCUUAACUGCCGAGCCAUCUCUCCCGCCCUUAGCAGUGUACUUCUUAUAAGAAAAAGACCUCACCAGUAAAAAUGUAGACUGAAAGUAUAGAAAACUAUAUUCCAAGCAAAUGAAAUUUUAAUGCUUGCAUGAGCAUCUAUACGUACAUCUCAUGAACAGAACAUAAAACUGUAAGAAGAGGCAAGGCAGGUUACUACAUAAUAAUCUAGGAGUAAAUCCAAGAAGUCCUAAUGUUGUAAAUCUUUAUAUGUCUAAUGUCAGAGAUCCCAGCCAUACAGAGCAAGCAGCAUGAGAAUAAAGGGAAAGAUAAGCUCAAAUACAAGAUUACUUGGAAGGGAGGGCCUCAAUAUCCUAUGCUCAUCAAAAGACAGAAGCACCCCGAUACAAAAGCAACAUGAAAUGUCAGAGUGAAACUAUACUAUAGUGCAAAUGUAAUGAACAGACAUGUCCAGA